rnacentral:rRNA from 1 species
GGCGACGGGUGAGUAACACGUGGAUAACCUACCUAUAAGACUGGGAUAACUUCGGGAAACCGGAGCUAAUACCGGAUAAUAUUUUGAACCGCAUGGUUCAAAAGUGAAAGACGGUCUUGCUGUCACUUAUAGAUGGAUCCGCGCUGCAUUAGCUAGUUGGUAAGGUAACGGCUUACCAAGGCAACGAUGCAUAGCCGACCUGAGAGGGUGAUCGGCCACACUGGAACUGAGACACGGUCCAG